rnacentral:lncRNA from 1 species
UGAUAAAGUAGAGAACAAGGAAUACAAGAUGAAAGCAUGUGAUAGAUCUAUUGUGAAUUGACUGUAUGUUCAUCAAAUGAAAGAACAAAUGGAGCAAUUUCAAAAUCAGAAGAAGCAAAGCAAUAAAGAAGUACUGAAUUUUCUGGUGAUAAACUAAGAAGAAGAAGCAAAUAUGAACACAUGUGAUACUUGAAGAAGAGAAAAUUAUUCUUGUGCAAGGAGCUUUUGAUAUCUUUUAAACUUCUCUGAAAAAAAUGAUGCAAAGAAGAGUCCAACAAUUAGAUUUAUUUUCUUGUCAAAUAGACAAAGGUGAAAAUGAAUUAGGGCUUUGUACUCGUAUCUUCUUUGAUCCAGCAGAUGAGGAUGAAAAGGAACCAGGUGUUUUUAUUACUGAAAUUGCUGAAGGGGGUGCAGCCCACAAACUUGGAUGGAUUGAAAUUGGAAGAGAGCCACCUGAAGUCAAGACAGAACUCAUCAUACUCCUUGAAUUGUCAGAGGAAAGGAAGAAAUUUUUUACAGAUUCAGUCAUAGUUCAGGAAAAAGUUGGAGAUAUCAAAAUUGUGAAAGGAAAAGCAAGAAAUUCUAAAACUCCGAAAAUAUCAUGGCUCUGGAUCACCAGAGAACUGGAAUUAAAAAAUGAAGAGAUGGAAUUGAAAAGAAUAAUAGAAGAAGAAGGUCAGAAAUAUAAAAAAGACCUCAAGGAAAUUGAUGAAAUGACUAACAACUUGAUAGAGAAACUUAAAAAAUACGUGAACAUAUCUGAAGUGAAUAUCGGAAAUCAGCCUGAGGAGACAGUAAAAGAAGAUAUAACAACAGGGCAAUUAUUGGCCGCAGAGGACAUCAGUUUAGAUAUCACAAUUAAAAAAGAACAAGUAGCAGAAUUAGUAGAAGAGGAGAUCAGCAGUGGCAAACCUGCAGUGGGAAAAGCUCCAAUGCAGUUUUCCUGGUUUUGCAAUGUCCAAGGAUACAAUUGGAGGAACUUCUUUUGUUUUAAAAAACAUGAUAAACAAGUAAAGAAUGUGCGCAAGCAGGAAGAAACUGACCUAAAGCUGCUGGUGUCUGACUGGACAGAAACUCAAGUGGGCCAUUGGUUAAAGAGUAUUGGAAUGAAAAAAUAUAUCCUGAAAUUUGAUUAUAAAAGAAUAAGAGGUCAAGAACUUCUUGAAUUAGACAAUGAUGCAUUAAAAUGCUUUGGAAUCACUAAGAAGAGAGAUCGUGACUUCCAGUCAAGAUGGCGGUGUAGAAGCAGCGAAAGUUCAGACCUCGGAAACCCUUCCCUACCGAUCCAAACAGAGUGCUCCUAAGCCACCGAAAUUCAAGCUGAACAACAGGAUAGACCUGGAGAAACCUCCUCCUGGACCUGGAUCAAAAGUUACCACACCCCAAAAGCCAGAACCCUAGAUCACUCGGAUCUAAGGGGUAGAUAGAAAGAAGGUCCCAGGACCCAUCCCCCCCAACCCAGAGUGCUGAGCCCAAGGCAGCAGCGGGAACCUCAGGGCUCUGAGGACUCACCUUGAAAGCAACUCGAGCCAGUCUCCGGAGGGCCCAACACAGAAGGCAGGGAAGCAUAGAGAGAAGGGGGAAGCCUGUGGCCCCCUGGCUGGGUUCUUCCAUCUGGGUCUCAGGGGAGGUCCCAGCCUUGGGGCACCAGCUGAGCCCAAUCCCAUAGGGAGCCCUCAGAGCUACUUAAAGGACAGAGGGCUCAGGGCUGGCAAAGAGGUGGCUCCGAAGAGCCUACUUUGAAAGUAACCCGGGCCAGUUUCCAGGCAUUCAACACAGACUGUGGAAGAGGAGGUUGCUGCUUUUCUCUUUCUUCUUUUUUUCGGCUCUGGGAUCAUUGGGCCCACACUACCUGAACCUAAUCCCAUCAGGAGCCAUCAGAGUCCAGGCAAGCCACGACCCCUCCCCCCUUAGAGAGCAGGGUCUUCUGAAAGGACCAGCUGAACCUAAUCCCAUCAGGAGCCCUCAGAGCUACUGAAAGGACAGAAAACUCAGGGCUGGCAAAGGGGUUGCUCCAAAGAGCUUUCCUUGAAAGUAACCCUGGCCAGUUUCUCGGCACUCAACACAGACUGUGGAAGAGGAGGUGGCUGCUUUUUUUUUUUCCUUUUUUUGGCUCCGAGAUCUUUUGGCCCACACCACCUGAACCUAAUCUCAUCAGGAGCCCUUUGAGUCCAGGCAAUCCACAACCCCUCCCCCCUUAGAGAGCUGGGUCUUCUGAAAAAACAGAAACCUAGACGUGAAGUCAAGAUGGCAGCCUAGAAGGAGCAUAGACCUGGCAGCCUGGCCAGAGCUUUAGAGAUCCUCCAUAUCUGCUCCAGCCGUCCAGGAAGUUUAAAACUCAGAAUAAACUCAGCCCAACUAGACUGAACUCA